UUCUACCUUAGAAGACACAAAGCUCCUUGUUGCAAUGUUUUCUGUUGGUGACUGGCUACCUCCAGGGGCUGACGAGGAGAUGUAAAACUACAGUGAACCCAGGGACCAUUUCAAAUCUAGGCCUAGUUUCACACUGGUGCAGUUUGACCCAAAACAAUGGGUCCUUCACAGGUCAGUGUCUUACUUCAGGAGGCCCCUUCAAUCUCCAGCACCAGCUAUGGGUCCUGCUUAAAUGAUGAGGCCUUAUGUGCUUAGAGGUCCAUAAAGCAAAGCUGAAGCUGCACAGAAGCCAUUCCGUUAAGCCAAAGCUGUGGCUCAUAAAUUAUUUGACUUUUGUACAUGUUUGAAAUGGUGGUGCCAAUCCUGACCAGCAGAGAUCCCAGACUGAGUCCUGCCUUGGAACCUGACAGCCUGCAUUUCCUGAGUUAACAGGCCCAGCACAAGGUUGCUCGCACCACCCUUCCUCAGGCAAGAAGCCCUUUUCACAUUGCUGACUACA